GACGAACGCUGGCGGCGUGCUUAACACAUGCAAGUCGAACGGAAAGGCCCUGCUUUUGUGGGGUGCUCGAGUGGCGCACGGGUGAGUAACACGUGAGUAACCUGCCCUUGACUUUGGGAUAACUUCAGGAAACUGGGGCUAAUACCGGAUAGGAGCUCCUGCUGCAUGGUGGGGGUUGGAAAGUUUCGGCGGUUGGGGAUGGACUCGCGGCUUAUCAGCUUGUUGGUGGGGUAGUGGCUUACCAAGGCUUUGACGGGUAGCCGGCCUGAGAGGGUGACCGGCCACAUUGGGACUGAGAUACGGCCCAGACUCCUACGGGAGGCAGAAGUGGGGAAUAUUGCACAAUGGGCGGAAGCCUGAUGCAGCAACGCCGCGUGCGGGAUGACGGCCUUCGGGUUGUAAACCGCUUUCGCCUGUGACGAAGCGUGAGUGACGGUAAUGGGUAAAGAAGCACCGGCUAACUACGUG
rnacentral:rRNA from 1 species